rnacentral:ncRNA from 1 species
GAGUGUGCGCCUCCCGGAGUCGAUUUGUAGCAGCAGGCUUCAAACCGCCCGGUGCUACUGCGUUAUAAGGGUAUGGUGGUGAUCGCCCGCGGAAAGGUCACCCAUCAGGGUGGCAAGU